GGGCCUGUAGAUCAGUGGAAGAUUGUAGGUUUCAUGUACGUCCCUACCUUUACCGCUUGACUUGCAUUCAAGAGGUCACGGGUUCAAUUCCCGUCAGGUCCA
rnacentral:tRNA from 1 species